GACAAACCGUGCGAACGUUGUUCGGAAUCACUGGGCUUAAAGGGCGCGUAGGCGGUCUGCCAAGUCAGGGGUGAAAUCUUUCGGCUCAACCGGAAAAGUGCUUCUGAUACUGGCGGACUUGAGGGAGGUAGGGGCAUGUGGAACUUCCGGUGGAGCGGUGAAAUGCGUUGAUAUCGGAAGGAACGCCGGUGGCGAAAGCGACGUGCUGGACCUCUUCUGACGCUGAGGCGCGAAAGCUAGGGGAGCGAACGGG
rnacentral:rRNA from 1 species